rnacentral:snRNA from 1 species
AUCGCUUCUCGGGACUUUGGCUAAGAUCAAGUGUAUUAUCUUGUUGCUUAUCAGUUUAAUAUCUGAUACGUCCCCCAUCGGGGGACUACAUAUUAAAUGGAUUUUUCGAACAGGGGAGUCGGAAAUGGGGCUUGCUCCGUCCGUCUCCACGCAUCGACCCGGUAUGCAGUACCUCCGGAACGGUGCAACACUU